UGUGGGCUUGGAGGGGGAAAUCCUUCAUCACGUUCAUCAGAUGAGGGAACUCGGCCCAGCGUGAGGACCAAGGGGACGAAUGACGCUUCUGAUGAAGAGACAGGUGGGGACCGAGCCCGGCUUCUUGACUCCCGGGGUCUACCCCUUCUGAGUAUGUGCCAGGUAUGGUGUAAGGAGGAAAGGCUACAGAAUGACUUAUAUUCCACAUUUCUUCUGGAGAGCUUAGAGUUCAGAUUUUUUUCUCCACAAAUCUCACGUUUUGAGUUUGUCCCACCCUUACUCUCCUGGACACAGUGAUGUGGGCUGCAGUGGGCUUCGUUAUAGAAACUCAGGAAACUGAGAAAAACAACAAAGCAUUGUCUGUGGAUAACUGAAACCAUAAAGAGCAAAAAUUGGAAUAAGGGGCAGCUACUGUGGCCAAAGAUUGGAGGAAAUCAAAUGUCCAAGAGCAAGAGAGUGGAUAAGCAAAUGGUGUGUCCAUGCACUGAAGUGGACCUCUGCAAUGGAGCAGAGUACGGUAUCCCUGCGUCCUCACAGCCGGCUCUCACUGACAGACCGUGUAUGACAUGUGUAAGUUUCUCACAGAAGAACCCCAACGCAGUCUGGAGCACCCAAGUGCCGUGGAUGUGGCAGCACGUGUGUGUCUGCAAUGAACACGCAGCAGUCAUGCUUGCAGAAUUCCCAGGGGCUACCAUGGCACCAUCACAAGAAAACCCAGGUUUGAGGGGAUAGUCAGGAUAAUUCAAGGCACCAGUGCACGGACAGUCGGUAUCUCUUUCCUGCUCCUCACUCCGGGGUGAACCAGGAAGGUUCUGACCUGCCUUCUCCUGCCCCUGCUCCCCAACAGCUCCUGGUAGAUAUUUCAUGACAAGCACAGUCAGACUCCAGAUUCCUGGAGCGAGCGCCCCUCCAGCCGGGUGGUGUUAGAGUGCUCUGAAGUCAGAACACUCUCAGUAGUAGCCAGGUCUCCAAAUGGUCCUGUGUCCGCACAUGUCAGCAGAGACCCUGGAGAAUCCUGUGGUGGUGAGAGAUGACCUAUGUGCUCCCAGAAAGCAGGAAGUGACUGAUGGCUCUUUAUCAGCUCUACAUUUUAUGUACCGCAGGAAGCUGAAUGAGUUCCACCUGGAUAAGUGGACACGUGUGCAUGUUUAAUUGUUAGGUUUUAUUUGUCUGCAGGUUGGAUGAGGAAUUAGAGAGACUGGGCCACAGCUUCUCAUAACCCAGCAGGAGACCUGGCCUGGUGCACACAGCAGCUGCAGCAGAAUUCCAGACACGAGAGUGGAACCUUUGGUAGCGUGCCCAGGGCCUGGAACAGGUCUGGCACGAAUUUCACCUGUGCCCUGUUCCGUUGGCUAAACGUGAGACCAGCCAAGGUCCAAGGGUUGGGAACAGAAGUUCCACCUCUUGAUGGUAAGUACAGGAAGGGGAAGAAUUUAUAGCUAUUUAAAAGCUGGGCCCUACUGCCUUGUCUAGAUUUCAGGCUCUGGAAGUCUUCUUCGCUUUUCUGUUCCUUACCCGGCUUACAAGCAAUGCCAGCGGAGCACAGUUCAGCUCCUUGCUUUCCGCUCCCUUGGUGGAAGUCAGGACACAGCUUCCUAUUCACAAAAGCACGCCACCAGGCUUCCCUCUGAGAAAUAAGUUUUUCAUUUUCUACAGAAAGCUUUUAAAAUGACGUUGCCUUGGAACCGUCAGCUAGAAGCAUAAAGACGGAGUUCAAAUGGAAUAUCCAGUUUUCACAGCUGUAUCUGUGCUAAAUUAAAAAGAACGAGAAAACAAAGAGAAAGAAAAAAAUGACCUCUGGCAUUUGUGUAACAGACUGGGGGCACCGGGAAGGAAUCAUUUCAACACGUGCUGCCUGCUCAGAGACUCCAUCAUUUCCAGAUUGGGCUCUUUUAAUUAAUCAUGGCCGGAGUUUUACACUUUUACUCUUG